AAGCAGAGAUCGCAGCAGCUGACACUAUUCCUUUGCCCCCCUAUUUAUUAUCCCUCCCCUCCCGACCUCCUUCCAACCUCUCAUUAAAAUCAAGGAGAGGCCAGAGAGAUAGCAACCGGUAAGAGAGGGUGGCGUCGCCAGGGUUUCCUCCUCCUCCGCCGCUCGCUUAAUCCUUCUUUCCGAAUCGGAUGUCGUCGCCGCUCGCUGAUGCCGCUCCGCCGACUCCGGGGAGGAGGCGGCACGAGAGGAGAAAAAAGGUAUCAAAAUGAUGAUGAUCCCUACCGAAACCAUGUUCUCUUCAAGAGGAUGCUGGAUUAUCUAGUUCUUUGAUUAUAUUAGUCAAAUGCAUUAGAUAACCUCAUGCUUGGAGAGUUAGGGAAUGAAGCCAUUGGUCCGCCAGACAUCAUAUAUUUUGGGUCAUUAUAAUUGACAUCCUCAUAUUUCUCUUUCAGCUAAAUGACAUUCUCAUAUUCAGUCUGUCUCAUUUUUUAAAAAAAUUACUUGGUGUUUCUAAACGUACAAAUCUAUGUAAAGCUCUAGUAGGAUGAUGGCAAGUAGCAGCAAGUUCAUUCAUGAGGAUUGAAGAAGUAGGUACAAUACUACAAUGGUACAAUUUUGCUCA